AAGGGCCACCUCCAUAUUUAAUAUGAAUUUCUUUAAACCACCAGAGCUGGGCCUCAUUUCUCCCAUACUCUGUGGGAGUUCUGACUUUCAUCCAAGAUCUUCCCUAUGACUUUAAGAGCAGAAAGACAUGGUCCUUGUGGUGUCUCCCAAACUGGACUCCUCUUAGUUACAAGUGGACUAUGACUGACUUAUUAAAAUGAUCCUCAUCUUUCCAGAAACACUUGAAUGCUGCCACCAGUAUAUUUUUUAGCUGAGACCUUCCUCUUCCUUUUUUCCCCAUAACCAGAAUCUGUGGUCUGUGCUAACAUUGCUUCUCCAUGAAAAUUUCACUCCCACUCCACUCUUUCUACCUUUCUGCAGAUGCCUGCACUUUCACCGCAAAUCAUGAAAUGAUUACAUAUUUUUAACAGCAUUAUUGAGAUUAAAUUUAUUUACCAUAAAGCUCACCCAGGUAGCAGUGGCUGCCAGCUAUACCCUUUCAUAGAAUUAGCCUUUUCUUUAGGCUUUGCUCUUCUCAAAACAAAUACUUCCCUUUUUGUUCUCUUGUUUCCUCUUGUAAGUCCCUAGGAUUAUUAAACAUAGGGCUUGAAUUUCACUUUGAAAUGUUUUCCACGUUUGUGGUAAUAAUGUCACCUGAGGGUUUCUACUAGAUUAAGUAAAGGAAGAAACAGAGUGGGAGGGGAAUGAAGUGUGACAAACUCUCUUAUAAAAGAUAAGGCAAAAAUGGCAGUCAAUUAUUGUUUCUGAUAAAUGUAAUGUCAUCCAAUAAUUUAUAGUAAUUCUGAGAACUAUAGCCAGUAAAAUGAAUUUGCAUAGUCUGUCUUCUUUAGGACACUGAUUUUCAAACUUGAAUGCACACUGGAAUCACCCGAGGAAUUUAAAAAAACACCGACACCUGGAUCCCACACAAGGACCCUGAUUUAAAUGGAUAAUCCUCACCAGCCUCAGAGUUCAUGUCUGAAAGUAUAGAGGCGGCAGAUAACCAAUGCAAGUGAACAUGGGUGAAAAUGGAUGAAAGUCCAUCUGGGCUGUCUGCAAAAUGAGAAGAUUCUAGACACUGUUUCUUAAAUACCUUGGAGGCGAGGAUCACAAAAUGCUCUCAGAAGUUUAUGAAAGCUAUGGAGUCUCCGGAAAUAUUCAGAAUUUUGCAUGUAAUUUUCAUAGAUUGCAGAUUCCCUGAAGAACACCAGUAGUUGAGGACUCCUAGAACCCAGGUUAACAGUAGCUAGGGUUCAUGCAGUACUUGACAUGUAGUAAGUUAUAAAUGUUUGUGAUGAUGAGAAUUAAUAGCUUUGUUUCAUGGAGUGAAGAAUGAGAAAAAAAAUACUUGUUUUUAUAAAUGGAGUUUUUAAUGAUUACAGAAAAUAUGUUUCCAGAGCCUGGAAACAGGCUGCUUGUUAACAUUCAUUAUCAGUGUUUAUUAUUUUUAAUGCUCAUUCUUUUGUUUUUAAUUGGCAGUUUUGGCAAUAUGGAAUAGUCCAUUUAGGAACUCCUGACUACUUGUUAUUUACUUUAUACCAAGCACGCUGAUAAUCAAUUUACCUGGAUUAGCUCAUUUAAUCCAAACAAAUCCCAAUAAGUAGGUUUCUCUAAUAAAGAAGUUGAGACUUAGAGUAACUCGUAAUGGUCCCAAAGACUGUCAUGUGUAGGGAACAACUUUGUUUCAUGAAGUGAAGAAUGUAUAGAACACAAACUAUUUUUUAUAACCACCUUCAUUGGCAAAAUAAUUGCUGAAAAAUUCCUACAGAUUCCAGCAAGCAUUUGUUAAUAAUAAUUUGUUGCUUUGUGUUGAUGUAUAAUCUGG
rnacentral:lncRNA from 1 species